UACGUAGGGGGCUAGCGUUGUCCGGAUUUAUUGGGCGUAAAGAGCGUGUAGGCGGCCAGGUAGGUCUGCUGUGAAAACUCGAGGCUCAACCUCGAGACGUCGGCGGAAACCAUCUGGCUAGAGUCCGGAAGAGGAGAAUGGAAUUCCUGGUGUAGCGGUGAAAUGCGCAGAUAUCAGGAAGAACACCCGUGGCGAAGGCGGCUCUCUGGGACGGUACUGACGCUGAGACGCGAAAGCGUGGGGAGCGAACAGG
rnacentral:rRNA from 1 species